UUGUUUAACACAUAAUCAAGAAAUAACCAUAAGUAUCAACAGUGGAACAGCCCAUGCUGCUGCUCUGCCUAUGGAGUAGCCAUUCUUUAUUCCCUUACUUUCUUAAUAAACUCGCUUUCACUUUAUGGAUUCAACUGUAAUUCUUUCUUGUGUGAGAUCCAAGAACCUUCUUGUAGGGUCUGGAUUGGGACCCUUUUCUGGUAACAUCUUCCUGGUGACCAUGAAGGGACAAUACUGAAGAGACCCCUGACCCUAAGGAAAUAGACUGCAGCACCAAUGGGCCAACUUUGGUGAUCUCUGGCUGCUGCUCAGAAGAAACAAGAGGGAGGGAUGAAUAAUGUAAAACUCUGGAUCAAUAUUCUAAUUCUGAGCCUCUAUUGGAAUCAGCUAGCAACCACAUAUCAGCUUGGUUUCAACAGUUUCCCAGUUCAUGCUGCUGAGAAGUUCAGAGUCAAACCUGAAUCUCACCUCUGCAAAGAGCACAGGACUCCAUGGCAAACGUUGUAUAUACGCAAGUCAUCCCUGGCACCACAUUGAUUUACUGCACCAGGCUUUCUUCAUUGUGAUGAUGUUCUCUCUCUUUUCUAAAAAAAAAAUAAAAAUAAAAUUUAAAAAAUCCUGUU
rnacentral:lncRNA from 1 species